rnacentral:tRNA from 3 species
GGCAGGGUAGCUCAGUGGUAGAGCAGCGGACUCAUAAGCCGUCGGUCGUGGGUUCAACUCCCACCCCUGCUACCA